rnacentral:rRNA from 1 species
AACGAACGCUGGCGGCAUGCCUAACACAUGCAAGUCGAACGAGACCUUCGGGUCUAGUGGCGCACGGGUGCGUAACGCGUGGGAACCUGCACUUAGGCUCGGAAUAACUCCCCGAAGGGGGUGCUAAUACCGGAUAAUGUAUUCGGACCAAAGAUUUAUCGCCCUUGGGUGGGCCGAGGUUGGAUUAGCUAGUUGGUAGGGUAAAAGCCUACCAAGGCGAGGAUCCGUAGCUGGUCUGAGAGGAAGAUCAGCCACAAUGGAACUGAGAAACGGCCCAGACUCCUACGGGAGGCAGCAGUGGGGAAUAUUGGACAAUGGGCGAAAGCCUGAUCCAGCAAUACCGCGUGGGUGAAGAAGGCCUUCGGGUUGUAAAGACCUUUUGUUGGGAAAGAAAAGCAGCAGGUUAAUACCCCGCUGUUCUGACGGUACCCAAAGAAUAAGCACCGGCUAACUUCGUG